rnacentral:misc_RNA from 1 species
GAAAUGCGAUAAGUAGUGUGAAUUGCAGAAUUCAGUGAAUCAUCGAAUCUUUGAACGCACAUUGCGCCCCUUGGUAUUCCAUGGGGCAUGCCUGUUCGAGCGUCAUUUGUACCCUCAAGCUCUGCUUGGUGUUGGGUGUUUGUCCCCGUCUCCGCGCGUGGACUCGCCCCAAAGUGAUUGGCAGCCGGCGUACUGGUCCCGGAGCGCAGCACAUGUCGCGCCAACGAGUGCCUUGGUACGGCGGCGUCCAUAAGCCCCUCUCUCACGCUCUUGACCUCGGAUCAGGUAGGGAUACCCGCUGAACUUAAGC